rnacentral:tRNA from 1 species
CUAUAGCUCAGCUGGAUAGAGCAGCGGACUUCUAAUCCGAAGGUCGUAGGUUCGAAUCCUACUAGG